CCUACGGGAGGCAGCAGUGGGGAAUAUUGCACAAUGGGCGCAAGCCUGAUGCAGCCAUGCCGCGUGUGUGAAGAAGGCCUUAGGGUUGUAAAGCACUUUCAGCAGUGAGGAAAGGUGUGUCGUUAAUAGCGGCAUACUGUGACGUUAACUGCAGAAGAAGGACCGGCUAACUCCGUGCCAGCAGCCGCGGUAAU
rnacentral:rRNA from 1 species